GAUGAACGCUGGCGGCGUGCCUAAUACAUGCAAGUCGAGCGAACAGACGAGGAGCUUGCUCCUCUGACGUUAGCGGCGGACGGGUGAGUAACACGUGUAUAACCUACCUAUAAGACUGGGAUAACUUCGGGAAACCGGAGCUAAUACCGGAUAAUAUAUUGAACCGCAUGGGUCAAUAGUGAAAGACGGUGUUUCGGGCAGUUAUAGAUGGUUCCGCGCGGCAUUAGAUAGUUGGUAAGGUAAAGGCUUACCAAGGGGAGGAUGCGUAGGCGAGCGGAGAGGCUGGUAGGCGACAUUGGAACUGAGCCACGGUCAAUGCUCCUAAGGUAGGGAGCAGACGGGAAUGUUACGCAAUGGGGGAAAAUUUGACGGAGCAAGGCGGAGUGAGUGAUGACGGUCUUCGGAUCGUAAAACCCUCUUAUUAGGGAAGAACAAAUGUGUAAGUAAAUAUGCACGUCUUGACGGUAACUAAUCAGAAAGCAACGGCUAACUACGUG
rnacentral:rRNA from 1 species